rnacentral:rRNA from 1 species
CGCACGAGAAUUCGGCUUCGGCCGAUAGUACAGUGGCGGACGGGUGAGUAACACGUGGAUAAUCUGCCCUUCGGCGGGGGACAACAGUCCGAAAGGAUUGCUAAUACCGCAUACGUCAACGAGGUCCUCGGACUUCGUUGGGAAAGAUGGCCUCUCCAUGGAAGCUAUCACCGAAGGAUGAGUCCGCGUCCCAUCAGCUAGUUGGCGGUGUAAUGGACCACCAAGGCUAAGACGGGUAGCUGGUCUGAGAGGAUGAUCAGCCACACUGGGACUGAGACACGGCCCAGACUCCUACGGGAGGCAGCAGUGGGGAAUAUUGGGCAAUGGGCGCAAGCCUGACCCAGCCAUGCCGCGUGAGUGAUGAAGGCCUUCGGGUCGUAAAGCUCUGUGGGGAGGGAAGAAACAGCUUGUGGCUAACAUCCACGAGCCCUGACGGUACCUCCUUAGCAAGCACCGGCUAACUCCGUGCCAGCAGCCGCGGUAAUACGGAGGGUGCAAACGUUGCUCGGAAUCAUUGGGCGUAAAGCGCACGUAGGCGGUCUGUUAAGUCGGAUGUGAAAGCCCUGGGCUCAACCCAGGAAGUGCAUUCGAAACUGGCGGACUUGAAUAUGGAAGAGGGUCGCGGAAUUC